rnacentral:rRNA from 1 species
CAAGUCGAACGCGAAAGUGGAGCAAUCCAUGAGUAGAGUGGCAAACGGGUGAGUAACACGUGGGUGACCUGCCUUCGAGUGGGGGAUAACGUCCCGAAAGGGACGCUAAUACCGCAUGACAUCCUGCCUUUGAAGAGGCGGAGAUCAAAGCUGGGGAUCGCAAGACCUAGCGCUUGAAGAGGGGCCCGCGUCCGAUUAGCUAGUUGGUGAGGUAACGGCUCACCAAGGCAACGAUCGGUAGCCGGCCUGAGAGGGCGGACGGCCACACUGGGACUGAGACACGGCCCAGACUCCUACGGGAGGCAGCAGUGGGGAAUUGUUCGCAAUGGGCGCAAGCCUGACGACGCAACGCCGCGUGGAGGAUGAAGAUCUUCGGGUCGUAAACUCCUGUCGAAUGGGACGAAUGCAUCGCGCGCGAACAGCGCGUGAUGGUGACGGUACCGUUAAAGGAAACCCCGGCUAACUCCGUGCCAGCAGCCGCGGUAAUACGGGGGGGGUAAGCGUUGUUCGGAAUUACUGGGCGUAAAGGGCUCGUAGGCGGCCAACUAAGUCAUACGUGAAAUCCCUCAGCUUAACUGGGGAACUGCGUGUGAUACUGGAUGGCUUGGAUUUGGGAGAGGGAUGCGGAAUUCCAGGUGUAGCGGUGAAAUGCGUAGAUAUCUGGAGGAACACCGGUGGCGAAGGCGGCAUCCUGGACCAAUAUUGACGCUGAGGAGCGAAAGCCAGGGGAGCAAACGGGAUUAGAUACCCCGGUAGUCCUGGCCCUAAACGAUGAAUGCUUGGUGUAGCGGGUAUCGAUCCCUGCUGUGCC